AGAACGAACGCUGGCGGCAUGCCUAACACAUGCAAGUCGAACGCUCUUGGGGCUUCGGUUCCAAGGGAGUGGCGCACGGGUGAGUAGCGCGUGGGAACCUGCCCUGGAGUGGGGGAUAACCGAGGGAAACUUCGGCUAAUACCGCAUGCGCCCGGGAAACCGGGGAAAGAUUUAUCGCUCUAGGAGGGGCCCGCGUCGGAUUAGCUUGUUGGUGGGGUAACGGCCUACCAAGGCGACGAUCCGUAGCUGGUCUGAGAGGACGAUCAGCCACACUGGGACUGAGACACGGCCCAGACUCCUACGGGAGGCAGCAGUGGGGAAUCUUGCACAAUGGGCGAAAGCCUGAUGCAGCGACGCCGCGUGAGGGAAGAAGGCUUUCGGGUUGUAAACCUCUUUCAGGAGGGACGAAGCUACUCGGGUUAAUAGCCCAGAGGGUGACGGUACCUCCAGAAGAAGCCCGGCUAACUACGUGCCAGCAGCCGC
rnacentral:rRNA from 1 species